UCCUGCCUCCUGGUCAGUGUGACUUCCAGUAGGAGCAGGAGCGUGCGGGAGUUGGAGAGGAAGGGACACGCGGGACCGACGACGCGUCGUCCAGACAGACACUCCAAAUCGAACCAUACCCGACAGGUACAUGGGCAGGCACCUUCAUGACAGCAUGAGGGGGCGAAAGGGCAAGGGCUAAAAGGAUUUCAAAUGCACAUCCACACAUACAAAGAGCAGAAGGGGCCACGAGAGACUGAGAGAGAUAGAGCGAAAGAGAGAGAGGACGAUCGGCAAAUGCUGAUCAACGAGAGCAUGGAAUUGAGUCGGUCGGGCCGGGCCGGGCCGGGUCGGGGCUACCGAUUUAAAUGAUGUCCGUGCUCAGCAACAACAACACUUGCAGCUCUGUUUGCUUAAUGAACCAACGCACACACAUACACACUCACAUAUGUACACAAGCACACCAAGAGACGCUGAGAAACACCAAGAAAAAACCACCUUCAGCAAAUAAGCAGACAGGACGGCAACAGUCGACACAUGGAUACUCUUGCUGAGUCCAGCACCAGCCCACAGCCCAAUGACAGAGCCCAAGCCCAAGCAGGUGCCGUUAAUUGUCAUUGCCCAAGUCGGUUAGACAGACCCAAGAUGCUUCAAUUAUGCAUUCGGAACGGCUACGGACAGUAGUGAUCGCUGAUCAUCACCAAUCGAAUGGCCAUGGCCAUGCUCCCCGAGAUGCCCUCGCAGCCAGCCACCAGAAGAAGGAGAGGCAGACAACAAGCAGAUAACAACGACUGUCUCCAAGUGGGCUCAAGUACCGCUGUCGACGAUGCAGACGCAGACACAGACGACCACGACAACGACGAUGAGGGCUAAGCAGGGAAUGCGAGACACGCAGGCUGGCCAAGACGGACCGUCAAGAGGACAGACGAUGGGCAGCAGUGGCAGUGGCAGUAGAAGCUACUUCACAGAAACAGAACUCUUAUUCUGAUGAUGCGAUCGUGUUUCUUACCGAUGGUGUCUGUAUUUGUAUAUCUGUGUGUGCGUGUGUGUGAGGUGAAGAGGAAAGCAAAUCCAAGUCCCGUGGAUGUCGAGUGGACUGGAGCAGAAGGAGAGUUUUGCACACCAUUCCAUUGGCAUCCGAGCACCGGUUCCCAGUUUCCCCAGUUCUCAAUUUCGAUUCCAUUACAUCCACCCCCCCUUCCCCCCCAUCCCAUAGGCAGCAACAUCAAACGUUGUUGGACAAUGACUUUCACGCCUUUUAAGCGCGCCAAAACAGAAACACCACCAACACCAGUGCAUGGACUGGCAGCAGCAGCAAGAAGUACAGACGGCCAAGGCGACAACCCAGAUACACUUCACCCAGUAUCACAAGCUAACAUAUAUUGGAAACCAGCGUUUUCAGUUUUCCAUUCACACUCACACAGCACACAAUACUUGAUUGCUCUCAUUUUCAAUAUCAAUUUCGAACACCAAUCACUGAAGUCUUUGAUUCCGGUAAAUGUGGCAAUCGGAACAGCCUGGCUGUAUAGGAGGAGAAGGAGGAUGUGGAGGAAGAAGCGUUGCAGAAGGAGAGGAUUGAAAUUAAACAACCAAUCCAACUGACAAUUCUCAUUGGUUGCUUUUCUUCCUGCUUUUUCUCUUUCCACUCACGAGAAGUUCUUAUCGCUAUUUCGCGUGAAUUUCAAUUUUGAGAUUUGCUUAGUUGUGCGCGAUUUUCGAGCAUGAUUAACUGCGGAUGUACCAGCUCAUACACACAUCCAAAGGUCUGUCCGUACGACGUACAUAUAUGUAGAUUAAUUAUUGAUACACAUGCCGUUUAUCUAAUAUAAAAUAUUUCAAAAUAUCAUCCGGGGCUGGGGCUCGGCUUUGGUUCACUAGAGAGGUUUCGGUUUUGGCCAACUUUCUGGCCACAAUUACUCUAAAAAUUUCGAAUUCGUAUCAGGCGUUUUGGGAACAAUCUACAUACUCGUGGUUGUCUCGUUCCCGGGAACUAGGCAAUGGCGGUAUGCUGCUGCUAGGUUGCGGCUCACUUGAUCGGCGUUGUGCGGCAAAAAUAAACAAAAAACCAAGUUAAAAAAAAAACAAACGUAAACUAAGGAACUA